UCUCUCUAUGUAUAUAUAUAGCAUUGCUCUCACAUGCUUGCUUGAUUUCACCUUCCUUAAUUCCAUAUAAUUUGGUGAAACAGCAAGCGCUGCAGCAGUUUGUAGCACAGGGAGCUUGUUUCUAGAAUCAGAUUCCAUAUCUGUAGCAGUAUCUGUAAUUCAGAUAAUCUUGGAGAAGAUUGCCCUAUCUUUGAAAACCUGUUUCAGUUCUGUCAAAUUUAUGCUGGUGGAACUAUAGAUGUUGCACGUAGAUUGAACAAUCGGCUUCGUGACAUUGCCAUAAAUUGGGCUGGUGGACUACAUCAUGCCAAGAAGUGCGAAGCAUCUCGUUUUUGUUACAUCAAUGACUUGGUUUUGGGGAUUUUGGAGCUUCUAAAAUAUCAUCCACGUGUUCUAUACAUUGAUAUAGAUGUGAAGCAUGGUGAUGGUGCUGAAGAAGCAUUUUAUUUUACAGACAGGUAAUGACAACUCUCUCUCUCUCAC